rnacentral:rRNA from 1 species
GACGAACGCUGGCGGCGUGCUUAACACAUGCAAGUCGAACGGAAAGGCCCUGCUUUUGUGGGGUGCUCGAGUGGCGAACGGGUGAGUAACACGUGAGUAACCUGCCCUUGGCUUUGGGAUAACUUCAGGGAACUGGGGCUAAUACCGGAUAGGAGCUCCUGCUGCAUGGUGGGGGGUGGAAAGUUUCGGCGGUUGGGGAUGGACUCUCGGCUUAUCAGCUUGUUGGUGGGGUAGUGGCUUACCAAGGCUUUGACGGGUAGCCGUCCUGAGAGGGUGAACGGCCACAUUGGUACUGGGAUACGGCCCAGACUGCUACGGGAGGCAGCCGUGGUGAAUAGUGCACAAUGGGCGGAAGCCUGAUGCAGAAGCGCCGCGUGCGGGAUGACGGCCUUCUGGUUGUAAACCGCUUUCGCCUGUGACGAAGCGUGAGUGACGGUAAUGGGUAAAUAAGCACCGGCUAACUACGUG